ACUCCUGCGGGAGGCAGCAGUGGGGAAUAUUGGACAAUGGGCGCAAGCCUGAUCCAGCCAUGCCGCGUGAGUGAUGAAGGCCCUAGGGUUGUAAAGCUCUUUCACCGGUGAAGAUAAUGACGGUAACCGGAGAAGAAGCCCCGGCUAACUUCGUGCCAGCAGCCGCGGUAAUACGAAGGGGGCUAGCGUUGUUCGGAUUUACUGGGCGUAAAGCGCACGUAGGCGGACUAUUAAGUCAGGGGUGAAAUCCCGGGGCUCAACCCCGGAACUGCCUUUGAUACUGGUAGUCUUGAGUUCGAGAGAGGUGAGUGGAAUUCCGAGUGCAGAGGUGAAAUUCGUAGAUAUUCGGAGGAACACCAGUGGCGAAGGCGGCUCACUGGCUCGAUACUGACGCUGAGGUGCGAAAGCGUGGGGAGCAAACAGGAUUAGAAACCCCAGUAGUCCCAUG
rnacentral:rRNA from 1 species